AACGAACGCUGGCGGCAUGCCUAACACAUGCAAGUCGAACGAGAUCUUCGGGUCUAGUGGCGCACGUGUGCGUAACGCGUGGGAAUCUGCCCUUUGGUUCGGAAUAACAGUUGGAAACGACUGCUAAUACCGGAUGAUGACGAAAGUCCAAAGAUUUAUCGCCAGAGGAUGAGCCCGCGUAGGAUUAGCUAGUUGGUGUGGUAAAGGCGCACCAAGGCGACGAUCCUUAGCUGGUCUGAGAGGAUGAUCAGCCACACUGGGACUGAGACACGGCCCAGCCUCCUACGGGAGGCAGCAGUGGGGAAUAUUGGACAAUGGGCGAAAGCCUGAUCCAGCAAUGCCGCGUGAGUGAUGAAGGCCUUAGGGUUGUAAAGCUCUUUUACCCGGGAUGAUAAUGACAGUACCGGGAGAAUAAGCUCCGGCUAACUCCGUGCCAGCCGCCGCAGUAAUAC
rnacentral:rRNA from 1 species